CAACCAUUUACAAUCGCAAAAGCACUACGGUAUAUUGAGAAACAGGCUGUAGACCCAUCCAUUCAAGGGUUAUUCCAUGAUUACAUAAGUUGGACAAAAGCCUCGUAGGUGGUUAUUGUAGGUUAUUGUUUUCUCAGACCAUGACAUCAUUGGUGAGCCGAGGUCUCCUGGAAACCCAGAGAGUCAAGCAACAGGUCAAUUAACCAGAGCAGCUCAGAGGAGACUGAUGAUCGCUAACACUGACAACAAGCUGUGCUGAGCUCCAUCUCACGACAAUCACGUUACAUCAAGAAGACCAACACGGAAACCGGAAAAGACCGACGCAGUGGCUUCUGCCUCCAUUCAGCGCCCGACUACAUUUCCCAUCAUCCCCAGCGUGUCGCCAGUAUGAGGCGGCAGAAGAUGGAAACUGUGAAAAAAUGGAACAAGGAUUUUAUUGCACUUGACCAGCUGGAGACGAAAAUCCACUCCAAACAAAAUGGCAUGAUCGCCAAGAAUCUUCUGAAUACUCUCAAGAUCUGCAACCAUUUACAGCUCCAGCCCAUUUCUCGUUCAGCAUGUGCUAUCGGCUCCUGUCCGGAUCUGAUGAUGAGUAGGAAUGAGCAGCGUGGGUUUCGGCCAGCUCCCGUGGCACUGACCCCACAGCUGCCUCCCAGGACACACCGACCUCUCUGCCUCUCAGUGUCCUCAGACAGCAAUGGCCGCUUCAAAGCUCUGGAGACACAGGAAUGGAAGAACAACCUCAAAGCUCAGAUGGAGCAGGCCCACAGCGCUGGUGCAGCCAGCAGCACGGGCUCUCUAGAGCGAGCCUCUCUUUUCUGUGCCUCUGGCUCGACCACUGCCUCCAGCUCAGGCCUCUCGAGUCCCGUGGAGCUUCUCGGCAAGAGCAAGUCCUCUAGCCGUUUCUCGCUCUUCUCACCGCCGUGGAACAGCAGCUCUGAGUCUGACUCGAACCCUCCGUCGCGCACCGGUUCCAAGAAAUUGCGCCGCAGAGCAGGACCAGGGGGUGUCAAGACUAGCCCCGAGACACCUGAACCCAAACCGAGCGGCCCGGAACACUUUCACUACUCUGAACCUGUAAUCUCCAAAGUGACAGACUACAUCUACGUUGGGAACGUUAAUGCAGCGUAUAGUGGCCGCAUGCUGUGCCGGAACAACAUCGACAGCAUAAUUGACAUGAGCAGCCUGCCAGGUGAGACAUGCCUCAACCUGAUCCCUUGCACAUGCUCAAGAGGCACCAAGCACAGUUGGUCACGCCUGAAAGUGCACAUGGAGGAGUCACGCGAGCUGGGUGAGGAUGGAGCUGAGCUGCACCAGCGUUGCUUUGAUGCCAUCAAUGAGUGCAUCGAUGCCUCGGCCGGAAAGAGAAAGCGAGUGCUGGUUCACUGCCGUGAUGGCUUCUCACUCGCCCCUACAUGUGUCAUCCAGUACCUCAUGAUCAAGCACAACAUGAGGCUGAUUGCUGCGUAUGAGCUGCUCAGGGCCAAGCACCCAGUCAACAUCCGCGAGUGCCACCAGAAUGCUUUAGUGAGUCUGGAGAGGACGCUUCGACCUGGUGGAAACACCGACCCUGAAUGCUUCAAACAGGCCAUCUCACGCAAGAUAGCUUGGACUUAAACAUACCACCAUGCAUUCUUUUCAGCCUCAUACUGAUUUAUCUGGAACACUUCUAGGACUGGCAGCUUGGGGCUAAUUACUAACCCUACUGAUUAUUCAAAUAAAAACAACAACAAAAAAAACUUCUUCCAGAAUAAAUCUGAGAUGGAAAAACUCAAGGUCAAGUACUGUAUAGCUGCUAAUCAAGAAAGCUGGAGUGAAAAUGUGUCCGCUCUGGUGUUAAGACUAUGGUGCUGAAGUCUUGUGAAUAUGAGGGUUGCAGCCAUAGUGUUGUUACAUUUUUCUUUCAGGACAGCAUGACGGGAAAUCUCAGGAGACCCAGUGAUGUCAAAUCAUGUCUACUGGAUGGGGAGUGUAAAGCUUCUCCAAAUGGACUACCUUUGAAUAGUGGUUAAGCAUCGGUCUAGUGCCAUGUUUCCCAACUCAAUCCUUAGGAACCUCCAGACUGUCCACAUUUAGGCUCUCUCUUAACACAACAAACACAAAUCGAGCAGAACACUCAAUACCUGGCAGCUGUGUUGGGAGAGAGCAAAAGCGUGGACGGUCUGGGAGGGUUGGGAGACAUUGAUCUAGCGUCAAGUCUUUAACUGCUGCCAUUGUAAAAAAUAAACCUACAUUGAAUCUGAAUCGUUUUUGGUAAUCCAUUAAUUUUUCAGAAUCAGUGGACAUUCUUAAUGUUUUGUAGGUACAAAUUUUCCUCCAUGAGGAAUCUGGUCACAACCUUUUCCCAGACAUGUGAUUAUCACCAACUUCUCAGAGUUGAGUGCAAAAGUUUGCCUACCCUUAUCACAGUAAAUAAAGAAGUUUCCACUGUUUUUCCUCCAUUACCACUAGUAACAAAAAUAGUCACUGUUAAGAUUCUAAUGUUCAGAAAGUGAAAUAUUUUAAAAAUAGCUCGUUCACCUUUCUGACCUAUUUGCAUGAUCUUCAAGCAAAUUUUGGAUCGUUUUAUUUGUAAUAUUCCUGCCGGUCUUGGCCCAUUCUUGGUCAAUCUUGGCCCUUUCACUCCCUCCAGGAUUUUGUGAUCGCAGAAAUUAACGCAAAAUCAAGUAAACUCCGCAAUAAUCAGAGGAGCUUGCAGUUUUUCAAAAUUAACGCAGAUUUGGGCCAAGGCGCAUCAUGUGACGUCAUCACAACGUGCAUUCAGCCAAACCCAUCUUUGAUUCACGUGCGUUGAACGUGAGCUAAAAGGUCUCAUUUCAUCACUGAAAGACCGUGCAAAACAAUUUUGGCAAUUGCAGUUUCACCAAUUAAUGUAGUUUUCCACAAAAAAGCACAGAAACUCCACAUCUUGCAUCACAAAUUUUGAAGAAGGAAAACAAAAGCCAGAGCAAAAUCAAACAUUUUUGGCUGUGACGAUCACAAAAAAAAACUCUGCGAAAUCCUGUACGGACUGCUUUUUUUUUUUUUUUUUUUUUUUUUUUUUAAAACACAUCUCUGCUAAAAUGCUAUCAGAUAUAAUAGACCGCAUACUUCUAAUCAGAUCUGGAACCUGAUAGAGUCUUCCUUUUGGUUCUUAUGAAACCCAUGUAACGCAGAUACAGUAUGAAAAAGUGGUACAUUUACCCUUUUUCAUCCCAGAACUUUUGCACCCAACUGGAGCGUUGGUGCUUGGGAAGUGAGAUGUAUUGUGUCUGUAGUGAAACUGAUACCAACUAGUGUGUAUCUUUGGGUUGUCAGCAUUACUAGUGUGGAUUUGACUGAAUUGUGAAGCAGUGAAUUACUACAAAGACUUUUUUAUUGCACUAACUAGACGUUGUAAAGAAACUGCACAGGUGAAAUGUUCUUUAACUGACUUGCCACUCCUUUUAGUUCUUCAUUGCUCAGCAAAGGUAGACCUUUCCUAUUUUUAGAUGAAUAUGAUGCACAUGCUUCCUGUGUACUGAUUAUUAAUUGAUGCUAGAUUGCUGUUGUGUUUUAAUUCACCAUGUAGGAAGUACUAUCCAACCUCUUGUGUGGAAUUGCUUAUGCUUGUGUACAGUAAUUAUUAUAUUUUAAUAUUUUAGUGAGCAGUGUGCUGAGGUGGUGCGUUCCUGAGUUUUUGGUGCCUUUGAACUUGUCUUGCGUGAUUGUAUUGUGAGACUCACAUUAUGUAUGCAGUUGUCAGGCACUGACAAUGUUUUUAUACUCUGGAAUCUUCUGUAUAAUGCCUAAUCCUUGUCCUGCUGGCGAGUACUGCAUUGUGGUGUGCGGCAGGACACAGCUCAGUUCAGUAACGUGAAGGUUUUGUUGCAGUGGUCAUUCUGUGAGCAAUGGCAGUAUUUUCAACCCUUGUGGUGGUAACUAGUGCAUCUCUGUCUGACUGAUCGUAACUUCUCCCCACUGCUAUGCUUCUCUCCUAAAAACAUUAUCCACAGUCUAAUCUAUAUUUGGCCUAACUACAGUACACUGCUUUCUUUUGUUGUAUAUUUCUAACAGUUUGACUUGAUCUCAGGUGAAAUCUAUUGACCUAAACUAUAAUAUUCUCUGUUUAAACUAGAAAACAGAACAAUGUGGCAAUGUAUUUUCUGUAUUAUGUUUUUAAAGUCUUAUGCAUUUGUAUAUAUAGAUAUUAAAGAAAACAAUCAAUUCAUUUUGACUCGUCAUUGACUCGACAAUGAUUUGAAGUGUAUUACUAUAAAAUGCUCGAUCAACACACAACACAUAUAUGUGUAUGUAUGUGUGUAUGUAUAUGUGUGUGUGUGUGUGUAUUUAUUUAUUUAUUUAUUUGAGCCAGAACAGUUAUUUGCUAACAAUAUUGUCAUUCUGUUGGCAGAUAAUUUAGGCAUUUAAUGCAGUGGUGUUUCCUGUACAUGUUCUCCCUGUGUCCGUGUGGGUUUCCUUUGGAAUCUCCAAGUUUCCUCCUAUAUCCCGAAAAACAUGCUGUUAUAUUGGAUUGGCUACACUCUAUUGCUCCUAGGUGUAAAAGAGUGGGUGAAUGUGUGUGUGUGCAUGGUGCCCUGCCAGUGGAAGAUCAUUUUCACACUUGAAACUAGCAAAAAGUUCUAUAAACACAUUGAAUCGUCUGAUAAUAGUUUUACGAUGGGAUGAUAUUGUUAAGAUAUAACUUUCUGUAGUCAAUCGACCCUUAUUUUAUGCUCCGCUGCAAGGUGUGGAGGCAGUAUGUUCUUGGGUUUUCUGUGCAUCCAUCUGAGAUUCUCUGAGAAUAUGACAAGAGAUAUGACAAGAACGAGUG
ensembl:lncRNA